rnacentral:rRNA from 1 species
AGAGUUUGAUCCUGGCUCAGAACGAACGCUGGCGGCAGGCUUAACACAUGCAAGUCGAACGCGUGUAGCAAUACACGAGUGGCGCACGGGUGAGUAACGCGUGGAUAUCUGCCUUUUGGUUCGGAAUAACCCCGGGAAACUGGGGCUAAUACCGGAUGGUUCCUACGGGAUAAAGAUUUAUCGCCAAAAGAUGAGUCCGCGGUACGAUUAGCUAGUUGGUGAGGUAAUGGCUCACCAAGGCGACGAUCGUUAGCUGGUCUGAGAGGACGAUCAGCCACACUGGGACUGAGACACGGCCCAGACUCCUACGGGAGGCAGCAGUGGGGAAUAUUGGACAAUGGGGGCAACCCUGAUCCAGCCAUGCCGCGUGAGUGAUGAAGGCCUUCGGGUUGUAAAGCUCUUUUGGCGGGGACGAUGAUGACGGUACCCGCAGAAUAAGCCC